UUAAGCAUAUCAGUAAGCAGAGGAAAAGAAAACAACUGUGAUUCCCUUAGUAACUGCGAGUGAAGCGGGAUAAGCCCAUCGUUUAAUCUUCCCGGACUAUGGACGGGACGACGUGUAACGGUAUGGAUAGGUUCUCUAUCAACAAUGUCUGGUCAAAGUCCUCCGGAUUGAGGUGCCAAAGAGGGUGACAGCCCCGUGUGUGACUGGACAGAGUUGAGUAUGUGGCCGAUUCUGAGAGUCGGGUUGUUUGGGACUGCAACCUAAAGUAGGUGGUAAACUCCACCCAAGGCUAAAUAUUGACACGAAACCGAUAGCGAACAAGUACUGUGAAGGAAAGUCGAAAAGAACUCUGAAAAGAGAGUUAAAAGUACGUGAAACCGCUAACGGGGAAGCGGAAGGCAGUGUCGAGAUUGAGUGAGUGAGUUGUUUCAAAUCAUUUUAAACUGGGCGGAAUACGUCUGAUUGAGAGUGGUUUGGGGCAGCUAGCUUUGCUUGAUGCGUCAGGACUAUUGGUGUGCGAUGGCUCAAUUGACGGUAUGGCUAUCACGACACCCAACUAAUCUAAUAAGUUAGUUGGGCUCGUGUGUGCGACCGGCAAUCCACCUCGUGUGCUGAUAUGGAUGCGAUGAGGCGUUGGUGAUGUAGUGUCGGUUGGUGUUGUGGGGCGUUUCGCGUAGUCACAUUGUGGCUACGUCGGAAUAGUCACGCAAUAGUUCAACAACCAGUGCCAGCUCCUGACGUGAUACCUAACCUUCCGACCCGUCUUGAAACACGGACCAAGGAGGCAGAAUCUAGAGCGAGUUGGAGGGUGGAAAACCCGACGGCGUAGUGAAAGCGAGAGAUGAGAUCCUACGGCUUCGGCUGUGGGCGCAUCAUCGGCCAGUCCACUUGAGUGUGAUUGAGUUAGAGCUGUAGAUGCUGGACCCGAAAGAUGGUGAACUAUGCGUGAGCAGGGCGAAGCCAGAGGAAACUCUGGUGGAGGCUCGAAGCGAUUCUGACGUGCAAAUCGAUCGUUUGACUUGCGUAUAGGGGCGAUAGACUAAUCGAACCAUCUAGUAGCUGGUUCCCUUCGAAAUAUCCCUCAGGAUCGCUGAGACAAGUGGGAGACAGUUUCAUCGGGUAGAGCGAAUGACUAGAGGAAUCGGGGAUAUAUUACUCUCGACCUAUUCUCAAACUUCCAACCGGUGAGAGCGCCGUUUUCUUUGUUGAACUGGUGCGUUGAAUGUUGUUGUCUCAAGUGGGCCAUUUUUGGUAAGCAGAACUGGCGAUGCGGGAUGAACCGAGAGUUGAGCUAAGGUGCCUAAGGACACGUUGAUAGAUACCACAAAAGGAGUCGGUCGAUAAAGACAGCAGGGCGGUGGCCCUGAAAGUAGGAAUCCGCUAAGGAAUUGUCUAAAAACUCACCUGCCGAAUCGACCGGCCCUGAAAAUGGAUGGCGCUGAAGCGUGUCACCGAUGCUCGACCUCUACCACGAGAGAUGUUGGUAGGGGGUAGAAGGGCGCGGCGGUAGCGAUAAAGUACAAAGUGUAAACUUGUAUGGAGCUGCCGUCGGUGUAGAUCUUGGUGGUAGUAGCAAUUAUAAAAGUAAAAACCUUUUAGGCCGAAGUGGAGAAGGGUUCCACGUGAACAGCAGUUGGACGUGGGUUAGUCGGUCCUAAGCGGUUGCCUAACGGUAGUUCCAAAGCCAACUUGUAGUGUCCUCCUUGUGGGGUCAUGAUCUGGUUGGAGUCCGCGAAAGGGAAUCAGGUUAAUAUUCCUGAACCGGCGUGUGGAGACGCUGCCAACAAGUUUGGCGCUGUGUUUCGGCAUGGUGUCAGAAUUGUGGUAGCUUAGCGGUAACGCAAUCAAUCUCGGAGACGUUGACAUCUAUGGCGGAGAGAAUUAUCUUUUCUGUAUAACAGGUGAACUACCUUGGAAUCGAGUCAUUCGGAGAUAAGGUAAAAAGCCUGGAAGAGCACCGCAACUAUUGCAGUGUCCGCAUUGUAGGUGUCGGCCCUUGAAAAUCCGAGGGAGUGGAUAAAUUUCAUACCCGGCCGUACCGAAUCCGCAUCAGGUCUCCUAGGUGAGCAGCCUCUGGCACUGGAACAAUGUAGGUAAGGGAAGUCGGCAAAAUAGAUCCGUAACUUCGGGAAAAGGAUUGGCUCUAAGGGCCGGGUCAAUGGAGCUAGUAUUACCUAGGUUAGUGGGCGUGCGAUUGGAUGUGUGUGCGUUGGCAACAAUUGUGCGCAUGUUUGGUUGUGCGAACGCUGGCCAUGGAAUGCCGGCGUGAGUUUCGGUCGGUUAGGGGGCUGUUGUGCUUCGGCAUGGCAGUCGUCUAGCCGAUGGGGCUCUUUACGAUUGACAAGCAUCGGCCAGCUUAGAACUGUUACCAACUAGGGGAAUCCGACUGUUUAAUUAAAACAAAGCAUUGCGAUGGCCGGAAACGGUGUUGACGCAAUGUGAUUUCUGCCCAGUGCUCUGAAUGUUAAAGUGCGGAAACGCAACCAAGCACGGGUAAACGGCGGGAGUAACUAUGACUCUUUGAAGGUAGCCAAAUGCCUCGUCAUCUAAUUAGUGACGCGCAUGAAUGGAUCAACGAGAUUCCCACUGUCCCUACCUACCAUCCAGCGAAACCACAGUCAAGGGAACGGGCUUGACUGAGACAGCGGGGAAAGAAGACCCUGUUGAGCUUGACUCUAGUUUGAUUUUGUGAGAAGACAUGAGGGGUGUAGAAUAGGUGGGAGAGCAGUCUUGUGCUGUUCAACAGUGAAAUACCACUACCUUCAUCGUUUUCACACUAAGUCGGUUGCACGGGAAAUACUUGUCCUCUCAAAUGGGGGCAGGUGGAUUCGUUGCUAUAAGACAGACUGAUCUGUUGACCCAUCGCCGAUGACAGAAUCAGAUG
rnacentral:rRNA from 1 species